rnacentral:rRNA from 1 species
UAUCAGUCAUGCAUAGCAUAUCAAUAAGCGGAGGAAAAGAAACUAACAAGGAUUCCCUUAGUAACGGCGAGUGAAGCGGGAAGAGCUCAAAUUUGAAAUCUUCAAGGUUUUACCUUGACGAAUUGUAGUUUAAAGAAGUGUUUUCUGUUGAAGUUUUGGUAAAAGUUCUUUGGAAUAGGACAUCAUAGAGGGUGAGAAUCCCGUAUUUGACCAUUACUUUCAGCUUUGUGAUACACUUUCGAAGAGUCGGAUUGUUUGGGAAUGCAGUCCAAAAUGGGUGGUAAAUUUCAUCUAAAGCUAAAUAUUGGCGAGAGACCGAUAGCGAACAAGUACCGUGAGGGAAAGAUGAAAAGAACUUUGAAAAGAGAGUUAAACAGUACGUGAAAUUGUCAAAAGGGAAGCGUUUGACACCAGUGUUGUUUUCUCGAAAAUCAAUUAAAAAGAGUUGGAUUUUGUGUUGUAUUGACUUUAUCGGCUUUCUUCACUCUUUUCCAGCUUUUUUUAAUGCACUUUUCGUUUAACAAGUCAACAUCAGUUUCUUUUGUUGUAAAAAGGUCAUUGGAAGGUGGCUUUCUCUUCGGAGAAAGUGUUUAUAGCCUCUUGACUCAUGCAAUCGGAGAGACUGAGGUCUGCAGCGUAGAUCCUUCGGGGUUAGAUACAUUUGUGCUAAGUUAUAGCUUUUCAUAGACAACUUGUUGACUAUGUUUAGUCUUGUAGCUUACUCGCUUAUGCUAUUUUACCUACGCUUAGGAUGUUGAACUCUAUCACACACAG